CCUUAGAGUUUGAUCCUGGCUCAGGACCCUUGCUGGCGGCGCGCCUAACACAUGCAAGUCGAACGGAGUCAAGAGGAGCUUGCUUUUCUUGACUUAGUGGCGAACGGGUGAGUAACGCGUGAGUAACCUGCCCUGGAGUGGGGGACAACAGUUGGAAACGACUGCUAAUACCGCAUAAGCCCACGGAUCCGCAUGGAUCUGCGGGAAAAGGAUUUAUUCGCUUCAGGAUGGACUCGCGUCCAAUUAGCUAGUUGGUGAGGUAACGGCCCACCAAGGCGACGAUUGGUAGCCGGACUGAGAGGUUGAACGGCCACAUUGGGACUGAGACACGGCCCAGACUCCUACGGGAGGCAGCAGUGGGGGAUAUUGCACAAUGGGGGAAACCCUGAUGCAGCGACGCCGCGUGGAGGAAGAAGGUUUUCGGAUUGUAAACUCCUGUCGUUAGGGACGAUAAUGACGGUACCUAACAAGAAAGCACCGGCUAACUACGUGCCAGCAGCCGCGGUAAAACGUAGGGUGCAAGCGUUGUCCGGAAUUACUGGGUGUAAAGGGAGCGCAGGCGGACCGGCAAGUUGGAAGUGAAAACUAUGGGCUCAACCCAUAAAUUGCUUUCAAAACUGCUGGCCUUGAGUAGUGCAGAGGUAGGUGGAAUUCCCGGUGUAGCGGUGGAAUGCGUAGAUAUCGGGAGGAACACCAGUGGCGAAGGCGACCUACUGGGCACCAACUGACGCUGAGGCUCGAAAGCAUGGGUAGCAAACAGGAUUAGAUACCCUGGUAGUCCAUGCCGUAAACGAUGAUUACUAGGUGUGGGGGGAUUGACCCCUUCAGUGCCGCAGUUAACACAAUAAGUAAUCCACCUGGGGAGUACGACCGCAAGGUUGAAACUCAAAGGAAUUGACGGGGGCCCGCACAAGCAGUGGAGUAUGUGGUUUAAUUCGAAGCAACGCGAAGAACCUUACCAGGUCUUGACAUCCGAUGCAUAGUGCAGAGAUGCAUGAAGUCCUUCGGGACAUCGAGACAGGUGGUGCAUGGUUGUCGUCAGCUCGUGUCGUGAGAUGUUGGGUUAAGUCCCGCAACGAGCGCAACCCUUAUUGCCAGUUACUACGAAAGAGGACUCUGGCGAGACUGCCGUUGACAAAACGGAGGAAGGUGGGGAUGACGUCAAAUCAUCAUGCCCUUAUGACCUGGGCUACACACGUACUACAAUGGCGUUUAACAAAGAGAAGCAAGACCGCGAGGUGGAGCAAAACUCAAAAACAACGUCUCAGUUCAGAUUGCAGGCUGCAACUCGCCUGCAUGAAGUCGGAAUUGCUAGUAAUCGCGGAUCAGCAUGCCGCGGUGAAUACGUUCCCGGGCCUUGCACUCACCGCCCGUCA
rnacentral:rRNA from 1 species